rnacentral:rRNA from 1 species
UACGUAGGGUGCGAGCGUUAAUCGGAAUUACUGGGCGUAAAGCGUGCGUAGGCGGUUCGCUAAGUCCUGUGUGAAAGCCCCGGGCUCAACUCGGGAACGGCAUGGGAAACUGACGGACUGGAGUGUGGCAGAGGGGGGUGGAAUUCCGCGUGUAGCAGUGAAAUGCGUAGAGAUGCGGAGGAACACCGAUGGCGAAGGCAGCCCCCUGGGCCAACACUGACGCUGAGGGCACGAAAGCGUGGGGAGCAAACAGG